AAUACGGCUAAAAUCCUGGUGCAAUGUGAGGUGUUUAUUCCACACUGCAGGAGCACGUAGGCGCUCUCAUCACAUCCCAGAUUUCAACUGUAUGAGGUGCUGGAAAUAAUUCUAGCAAAAAAAGGUGCUUCCUUUUCCAAAUUGCUACAAUCUCUGUGUGAGAAAGGAUAACAAAGUGGGACAGAAAGCAGAUGGAUUGGGUUCAUAGUCUGAACCUCUGGAAGUUUCAGCGAUAUAUGUUUAUUAUUAGGUUUUAACUGAACACCUUAUUGGGCAGGUUGAUAAAGGAGCCGUUUCGACAUUCGAUACGAAUACAUUUCAAAAAGGUAUGAGCUGCUGCUAAUUAAGUCAGUUGUGAUUAUCUGCCCUCUUCCACAGGAAUGCCUUUUGCCAGGUUGCCACCGGUCUGUCAGAUCUGGGCUCCUGCUUCUGGCUGGGAGCAGCGCCUGUGCUCUGGGCAGCAGUGAAGAUCUCCCAGGUGAAGUGUAACGUUGUACCUGGGCCUGGGGACUUGGCUUUAGUCUUCACAACGUGGCGUACGGAUUACCGUGACAAUCUCACAAAGCUUCACAAAGAGGAGUAAAUGUCGUCAUCUGCAUUUUACAGUUCUUUUUUGGGAAGAUCAAACCUCGGCGCAGAGAUGUGACCCUGCUGGCUCGGGCUGUACAGAGCGCUCACGCUGCAUGUCUGGAGGCGCAGGGGUCCCUUUGUCGCAUGAGCCUGGUCCACGCGGAUCUGGGAAGCGUAAAGGGACUCAAAUUUACCCACGUAGGGGACGAGAGGGUUUUUCAGCACAGUGGAGGAAAAAAAAAAGAAACAGGGAGUUUCACAAGUUUCUGCAGCAGAGGGAUGUGUGGUUCUUGGCUUUGUUUUCGCUUCGGAAAUGGGCAGCAGCCAGCAAAUGUCGGAGGUGUUUGUUAGUGACUGAGGGUGCUGAAGAGACAAUCAAAUAUUUGUGACAAAGGCAAAGACCUUGGAUGUUAUCGUUGACACCCAGACGGCUCAAGAAAAGAGCAAAUACUGCGUUCAUUGUAUUGUCUCUUACUGUAAAUGACAAAAUGACAUUUUUGCCAGGCUCAUGUGUAUUGAUCAGCUUCAGCCCUUAGUAACUUAAAUACUGUAAAUGGGUGAGGGAUAGGUUUGUCUGUCUGGCAGUAAUUAAGUGAGUCUCUCACUGGCUGAACAAAGAGGUGACCCAAUGAGGCCUCACACUAGUGCCAUUUUUUUCCUAUUUUGAGAGAGCUAUAGUCACUUCUACUGAAAACAAGGAAGGCAUUAAAAUAGUGACAGAUUUAAAACUCUCUUUAAGAAGUCAGCUUUUUGGGGGAGAUACCCUCUUUUCAUAAAACCGAACAGGAUUCUUCAUUUGACAUUUCCGUCGCAUGACUUGCUGAAUAAUCUCAGCACAAAUCAGGUGUACAGCGAACAUCCCACACAGUCACCCACCACCUGGAAUGGAGGCACGAUAUUUAAGGGGAGGGGGAAAAGUAAAUUAAAUGGUUAAUUAAAGCACCUGGGGAAGCUUGAUAUAGUGACUGGCCAAAAAAAAGGCCCACAAAUGGCUCCAAAUGCUGUUGUGCUUCUGAUAAGAAGCUCUGUGCCACGAUCCAUCGUGCCAGGAUACCUGCCUGUCACCCCAAAGAUGCUGAGUGGGCGCCAGUUAUAAAGAGAGCAGAAGAACCCCAAAGCUGCUACUGAAGAGGGUUUGUGGCCACCCCCAAGCCCCCUAAGCUGACCAGGAGGUGCUCGUUCCCUGAUUUUGGAGGGUGGCCCUGCACUCACUGGGACAAUUACAUAGGGACCCUGAUGGGAACAGCCUCGGCGAGCGGGAGCCCCGCGGGGCGCGUCGUCGCGCCCCGGCACAGCACAGGGGGCCUCGUGCCUUCCCUUCCUUCGGUCCUUUGAGGGUGGGGGAAACCUCCAAGGGGGUUGGAGGGAGUAACCUCUGCUUUCGGGUACCACCAAAUUAAGACCCAGGCAGUGAGGAUUCAGCUUUUCAUCUGGUUUCAAAGGGCGCGCCGUGUGCUUUAUUUGGAUUUAGAUGCAUAAUUUAAAAGGUGUUUUUUACUGAAUAAUCAAACUUGUCAUUUGAUUGCCUUCCUUCUAUGGGUACGUGUAACAGUCACUUAUGUUCUACUGUAACAGAAUAAAG